AGGACGAACGCUGGCGGCGUGCUUAACACAUGCAAGUCGAACGAGGCCCUACCUUCGGGUAGGUGACCUAGUGGCGAACGGGUGAGUAACACGUGGGCAACCUACCCUCAGCUCUGGGAUAACCCCGGGAAACCGGAGCUAAUACCGGAUAUGACCUUGAACGACAUCGUUCUUGGUGGAAAGUUUUUCGGCUGAGGAUGGGCCCGCGGCCUAUCAGCUUGUUGGCGGGGUAAUGGCCCACCAAGGCGACGACGGGUAG
rnacentral:rRNA from 1 species